rnacentral:rRNA from 1 species
GGCAUGGCGGGUGCUUACACAUGCAGUCGAACGGUGAAGCCAAGCUUGCUUGGUGGAUCAGUGGCGAACGGGUGAGUAACACGUGAGCAACCUGCCCUGGACUCUGGGAUAAGCGCUGGAAACGGCGUCUAAUACUGGAUAUGAGCUCCUUCCGCAUGGUGGGGGUUGGAAAGAUUUUUCGGUCUGGGAUGGGCUCGCGGCCUAUCAGCUUGUUGGUGAGGUAAUGGCUCACCAAGGCGUCGACGGGUAGCCGGCCUGAGAGGGUGACCGGCCACACUGGGACUGAGACACGGCCCAGACUCCUACGGGAGGCAGCAGUGGGGAAUAUUGCACAAUGGGCGGAAGCCUGAUGCAGCAACGCCGCGUGAGGGAUGACGGCCUUCGGGUUGUAAACCUCUUUUAGCAGGGAAGAAGCGAAAGUGACGGUACCUGCAGAAAAAGCGCCGGCUAACUACGUGCCAGCAGCCGCGGUAAUACGUAGGGCGCAAGCGUUAUCCGGAAUUAUUGGGCGUAAAGAGCUCGUAGGCGGUUUGUCGCGUCUGCUGUGAAAUCCCGAGGCUCAACCUCGGGCCUGCAGUGGGUACGGGCAGACUAGAGUGCGGUAGGGGAGAUUGGAAUUCCUGGUGUAGCGGUGGAAUGCGCAGAUAUCAGGAGGAACACCGAUGGCGAAGGCAGAUCUCUGGGCCGUAACUGACGCUGAGGAGCGAAAGGGUGGGGAGCAAACAGGCUUAGAUACCCUGGUAGUCCACCCCGUAAACGUUGGGAACUAGUUGUGGGGACCAUUCCACGGUUUCCGUGACGCAGCUAACGCAUUAAGUUCCCCGCCUGGGGAGUACGGCCGCAAGGCUAAAACUCAAAGGAAUUGACGGGGACCCGCACAAGCGGCGGAGCAUGCGGAUUAAUUCGAUGCAACGCGAAGAACCUUACCAAGGCUUGACAUAUACGAGAACGGGCCAGAAAUGGUCAACUCUUUGGACACUCGUAAACAGGUGGUGCAUGGUUGUCGUCAGCUCGUGUCGUGAGAUGUUGGGUUAAGUCCCGCAACGAGCGCAACCCUCGUUCUAUGUUGCCAGCACGUAAUGGUGGGAACUCAUGGGAUACUGCCGGGGUCAACUCGGAGGAAGGUGGGGAUGACGUCAAAUCAUCAUGCCCCUUAUGUCUUGGGCUUCACGCAUGCUACAAUGGCCGGUACAAAGGGCUGCAAUACCGUAAGGUGGAGCGAAUCCCAAAAAGCCGGUCCCAGUUCGGAUUGAGGUCUGCAACUCGACCUCAUGAAGUCGGAGUCGCUAGUAAUCGCAGAUCAGCAACGCUGCGGUGAAUACGUUCCCGGGUCUUGUACACACCGCCCGUCAAGUCAUGAAAGUCGGUAACACCUGAAGCCGGUGGCCCAACCCUUGUGGAGGGAGCCGUCGAAGGUGGGAUCGGUAAUUAGGACUAAGUCGUAACAAGAGCUGCCCA